CUGUAGGGAAAGAGAUAAUGGUGUGAUUAGUAGGGACAGUACUACAGACACCACUGUUACUAGGUUGUACCACUGUAGGGAAAGAGAUAAUGGUGUGAUUAGUAGGGACAGUACUACAGACACCACUGUUACUAGGUUGUACCACUGUAGGGAAAGAGAUAAUGGUGUGAUUAGUAGGGACAGUACUACAGACACCACUGUUACUAGGUUGUACCACUGUAGGGAAAGAGAUAAUGGUGUGAUUAGUAGGGACAGUACUACAGACACCACUGUUACUAGGUUGUACCACUGUAGGGAAAGAGAUAAUGGUGUGAUUAGUAGGGACAGUACUACAGACACCACUGUUACUAGGUUGUACCACUGUAGGGAAAGAGAUAAUGGUGUGAUUAGUAGGGACAGUACUACAGACACCACUGUUACUAGGUUGUACCACUGUAGGGAAAGAGAUAAUGGUGUGAUUAGUAGGGACAGUACUACAGACACCACUGUUACUAGGUUGUACCACUGUAGGGAAAGAGAUAAUGGUGUGAUUAGUAGGGACAGUACUACAGACACCACUGUUACUAGGUUGUACCACUGUAGGGAAAGAGAUAAUGGUGUGAUUAGUAGGGACAGUACUACAGACACCACUGUUACUAGGUUGUACCACUGUAGGGAAAGAGAUAAUGGUGUGAUUAGUAGGGACAGUACU